AAGCUACUCCCUUCGUUCGAAAAUACUUGUCAUCAAAAUAGACAAAAAGGAAUGUAUCUAGAACUAAAAUACAUCUAGAUACAUCCUUUUUAUUCAUUUUGAUGACAAGUAUUUCCGGACGGAGGGAGAACUUU
rfam:Triticum aestivum genome assembly, contig: Triticum_aestivum_CS42_TGACv1_scaffold_223624_3B